GGGGAUGAUCGGCUUCGACAGAUGAUGACCGUGAUUUACCGCAAGCCGAAGUGCUUUAUCCUGCCACUUCGUUAAAAACGGGAGGAUAUUCCGAGCAAUCGGAAAUUGACUUAAGCGUCAAAACCAAAAUUCAAGGCUUCGUUGAUAGAGUAGUAGCAUUUUUCAAUGUCGAACCUCAAUUCAACUUUGCUGUUGCUUAAUUAAUUAAGCAACCUUCUCAUUCUCUCCUCACUUGGCGGGAGGCUUGGGGAGAAACUUAGUCAAGUUGCAGGUUUAAAGUUUGAUUUAUGCUUAGAACCGAAGCACUUAUAAAUCAAAGCAGUUUGGCUUUUGUUGAUUUUAAUCAAACUGUUUCAACUCAAAUCAACUAAGCUUGUAGUAUGUAGAUCGCAGUAUCGUUUGGACGCGGGUUCGAUUCCCGCCAUCUCCAUUG
rnacentral:tmRNA from 1 species